UGGGGAAUAUUGCACAAUGGAGGGAACUCUGAUGCAGCGACGCCGCGUGAACGAAGAAGGCUUUCGAGUCGUAAAGUUCUUUUAUAUGGGAAGAUAAUGACGGUACCAUAAGAAAAAGCCCUGGCCAACUACGUGCCAGCAGCCGCGGUAAUACGUAGGGGGCUAGCGUUGUCCGGAAUCACUGGGCGUAAAGGGUUCGCAGGCGGAAAUGCAAGUCAGGUGUAAAAGGCAGUAGCUUAACUACUGUAAGCAUUUGAAACUGCAUAUCUUGAGAAGAGUAGAGGUAAGUGGAAUUUUUAGUGUAGCGGUGAAAUGCGUAGAUAUUAAAAAGAAUACCGGUGGCGAAGGCGACUUACUGGGCUCAUUCUGACGCUGAGGAACGAAAGCGUGGGUAGCAAACAGG
rnacentral:rRNA from 1 species